rnacentral:rRNA from 1 species
GAAUAUUGGACAAUGGGCGAAAGCCUGAUCCAGCCAUGCCGCGUGUGUGAAGAAGGCCUUUUGGUUGUAAAGCACUUUACGCCAGGAGGACGCUACUUGGAUUAAUACUCUAGGAUAGCGGACGUUACUCGUAGAAUAAGCACUGGCUAGCUCUCUGCCACCAACCGCGGUAAUACAGAUGGUGCGAGCGUUAAUCGGAUUUACGGGGCGUAAAGCGUGCGUAGGCGGCUUUUUAAGUCGGAUGUGAAAUCCCUGAGCUUAACUUAGGAAUUGCAUUCGAGACUGGGAAGCUAGAGUAUGGGAGAGGAUGGUAGAAUUCCAGGUGUAGCGGUGAAAUGCGUAGAGAUCUGGAGGAAUACCGAUGGCGAAGGCAGCCAUCUGGCCUAAUACUGACGCUGAGGUACGAAAGCAUGGGGAGCAAAC